rnacentral:rRNA from 1 species
CAGCAACGGAUCUCUUGGCUCUCGCAUCGAUGAAGAACGCAGCGAAAUGCGAUAAGUAAUGUGAAUUGCAGAAUUCAGUGAAUCAUCGAAUCUUUGAACGCACCUUGCGCUCCCUGGUAUUCCGGGGAGCAUGCCUG